rnacentral:tRNA from 1 species
GUUCCCUUAGUAUCAACUAGUACAUCUGACUUCCAAUCAGCUAGCUCCGGUGCACCCCGGAAAGGAAUA